UAAUGGCAGGUCAGCAUACUGCCGUGAAUACGUUCCCGGGCCUUGUACACACCGCCCGUCACACCAUGAGAGUUGGGAAUACCCGAAGCCUGUGAGCUAACUUUUAGAGGCAGCAGUCGAAGGUAGAAUCAAUNAUUGGGGUGAAGUCGUAACAAGGUACC
rnacentral:rRNA from 1 species